UACGUAGGGGGCAAGCGUUGUCCGGAAUUAUUGGGCGUAAAGCGCGUGUAGGCGGCCAGAAAAGUCCGCUGUGAAAACUCGAGGCUCAACUUCGAGCUGUCGGUGGAAACUUUCUGGCUAGAGUCCGGAAGAGGAGAAUGGAAUUCCUGGUGUAGCGGUGAAAUGCGCAGAUAUCAGGAAGAACACCCGUGGCGAAGGCGGUUCUCUGGGACGGUACUGACGCUGAGGAGCGAAAGCAUGGGGAGCGAACAGG
rnacentral:rRNA from 1 species